GCUUCACCGAAGGGGAGCCCCGCUUUGACGUGGGGCUGAGAGGCCGAAAAUGAUCGGCGACCCUUGGAACCUGAUCCGGGUCAUGCCGGCGAAGGGAUCGGAACAGACGCUUCC
rnacentral:ncRNA from 1 species